CACGGCAAGAGCAAGAAUUCCUUGGUCCAGUGAUCCUGCGGCUUCCUCUCUUGGCUCCACAAACUACUGAGGAAUCCUUUCCCCCCAAAGAAAAGAUCCACAGAGAUUUCUACAGCGCUAUGGGGCUCGACUCCUGAGCUAAUUCCUCACCACCAGGAUGAGUGGUGGACAACGGAAAGGCUCUGCGAAGGGGAGCGGCAAGCCACAGUCCCACAAUUUCCCGUCAAUGCACUGUCUAUCGGUUACCACUGGUACCCACUUGUCUACUGCACCAGACUGGUCUCUCACCCUCGGCUCUCUGCGUUCACCUCCCAGCUCCACUGGAAGUCUGCCUGUUCCUGCUUUACGAUGAUUAAGCUCAAUUGUUGAGCUGAUUUGGUUGAGACACUCCUAGACUAUCAGUAAAGCAGCGACUAUGAGCAGAACCAUUCCCUAGGCUGGGGACCCAAAAGGAAUAGAUAGAGAGAGAAUAUGGAAAACCUGCCUUCUCAGCUUCCUGGAUGCUGUAACUUGAGCUGUUCUGCUCUGCCAUGCACUUACCUCUGCCAUGAUGGGCUAGGCCCAUGAGCCAAAAGUUAAC